UACGGAGGGGGCCAGCGUUGUUCGGAAUCAUUGGGCGUAAAGGGCGCGUAGGCGGCCGAUCAAGUCGGAGGUGAAAUCCCUCGGCUCAACUGAGGAAUUGCCUCCGAUACUGUUCGGCUUGAGUCCUGGAGAGGGUAGUGGAAUUCCCAGUGUAGCGGUGAAAUGCGUAGAGACUGGGAAGAACACCAGUGGCGAAGGCGGCUACCUGGACAGGUACUGACGCUGAAGCGCGAAAGCUAGGGGAGCAAACAGG
rnacentral:rRNA from 2 species